CCUACGGGUGGCAGCAGUGAGGAAUAUUGGUCAAUGGCCGGAAGGCUGAACCAGCCAUGCCGCGUGAAGGUCAGUGCCCUAUGGGCGUUAAACUUCUUUUGUGCGGGAGCAAUAAUGGUCACGUGUGGCCAGACGAGAGUACUGUACGAAUAAGCAUCGGCUAACUCCGUGCCAGCAGCCGGGGUAAUACGGGGGAGGAAAGGGUUACCAGGAUUUUUGGGGUUUAAGGGGUGCGUAGGGUGGGAGGAAAGUCAGCGGUGAAAUGCCCCCGGUCAACGGGGUGAAGUGCCAUUGAUACUGCCUUGCUGGAAUGCGGAUGCCGUGGGAGGAAUGUGUGGUGUAGCGGUGAAAUGCAUAGAUAUCACACAGAACACCGAUUGCGAAGGCAUCUCACGAAUCCGCGAUUGACGCUGAUGCACGAAAGCGUGGGUAUCAAACAGGAUUAGAUACCCCAGUAGUC
rnacentral:rRNA from 1 species